GUAUACAUGAGCACGUAGAUCUUCCAGACCAUUAUAUCGCUCACAAAUUGACCUUGCUUGUGAGGUAGCGUGUCUGGAUGAGGAAGUAGAGUAUAUCAGUAUAUCAGGAGACCGCAAGCACCUGCUCUGCUAGCAGAAAUCUCUCUUGUAUACUUUAUACAAAAGGCUUGGCCCUACUUUUCACCUGAUUCUCACUUAGAGAAUUUCUGUCCUGGUAUCACUUAAAAAUGGUUGUCUGCAUCAUACGUCCCCGUGUGUCAGAGCACUGAGGGCACUGACGGGCAGUAACAGGCACUGUUGGCCCUGACCAGCUUCACCUGGGGCCUCCACUCAUGCCCUGCCCAUGGCUGGAGGCUGUAUUUAAGCUCAGCUCAGGAAUCUUUCAAGUUAUUUGUUACUGAAGCUUCUAAGGGUCUCUCUAAAGACCUCUUCAAAGAUGUCUUUUUAUAUAAGGUCACCAUUUUACUUUAGGAUAGUCUUGAAUAGUAGUGACUUUUCCCAAUAAUGGUGGCUUCUGGAGGACGGACUUGAGGACCUUUGGAUUUGAUGCUGGUAUCUGCCACUGAUUUUUCUGUGUGGAGGACAGAGGCCCUGGAAUUGUUCAGCCAGUCCCUUAUCAUGGUACGGAAAGCAGAGGGAGGUCUGUGGGCUUUGAGCUGUCCUGAUUCAUCCCGAGGAAAACCUGACGCAGAAGAGUCCUCUUACAGAAAACUGCUGCCACAAGUGGGGAGCCUAGCAAUAACAGAAGCUUCUAAAACUCAAUUCUGAUAAGAUCACUUGCAGGAAAACUUACUUUUAUUGGCUUCAGUGCAAGAUUCACGUUAAAACCUUCUAAUCUGAAGUUUAGAAAUCAAUAUGUAUUUUGGAAGAAAUAAUACAGCCUUCCUUAGAGACAACCGUAUCUAUACAUUGAUGUUGAUACUCCUACUAUUUCAUGCUUACACCAGAAUGCUGCAAUGUUUUCUACUAUACUCUAAGGAGACUUACACUGUGUUUACUGUACUUAUAAUUCUUUUGUUCUGGACUGUACUUCUAAAAUUUUGUUCUAGAUUAGCUGGUUCCUACAGCCUCGAUAUUAUGUGUUGUCAAUUGGCAAUGAGAUGCAUUUCCUGGACAGUAGCAGUUCUAGCUGAUAAGUAAUAUAGGCUGUAUUUGCAAGAUGUCCUAAACCACUACUGUCUGAACCCACAUCAAAAUCUUUAUUUUAGACUGUUUGGUUAGUUGCAAGAUGUAAUACACUAAGUUUAUGAUGUUACUUUCUUAGGUCCUUGUGCUAGUGCUUGCUCUUCAGUAUGGGGUUUCAGUGAUGCGGGUCAGUAAAAUCAUCAGUGUUUCAUUGGGACGGAGUACUCGUGAGGUCCCAUGCAGAAAACGUUCAGCUACAGACACAUUGAAAUCUAAGGCUGUAGUUAACAGUGCACUGCAUGUUCAGCCAUGGAGGCCACUCAUUCCCUGCAAUUUUCAGCUAGGAAAAAACAAAGUAUUUCAAAGCAUGUCCAAUGCAGUUAGUAUGUCUAAGGCAUAAUAUCGAUCCAAGAGGACUGCAGAGGACUUCACAAGCUGAUGUACUUACUAUACGGAAGAUAGUAUAUCAGAAUAGGAACUCUUUAAGUAGAAAUGAAAAUGUCCUAUAUGAUUAGCACAUGGAGAAGAUAUCUUUCCUUCUGAAGAGAUCUGAAGCAGGAUUAAAAAGUACCGGAGUUUCACUAUUACAGCCACUUUAAUUCGUAGUGACAUUCUUAUCUAACAAAUGAUGAUAGUUGGAAUAAUUUGAUAGAUUUACAUUGGUAUGAAUAAUUCCUGUACUCAGAAAGUUUUCUUGGGAUAUAGUGCUUUCACUUAAGCACACUCGGCCACUGUAAUUGUGUUGUAAUAAUUAAAGUAGCAAAACUGAAGUUAAAUACUUGAGCAUUUAAAGCUAAUUGGAAAUUUCCUUCUGAUUCUAUUGGAAACAAUUUUACUUUCUUAAUCACUUGACCUGAAUUUUCCUAUUGGAAGUCCUGGCAGCUGCAGUUAAUUGCAGCCCUUGGGUUGGUACACACUGGGAGUCUCACACAGGCUUCAGAAGCAGAAACUGGUAAGAAUUGCUGGGUUUUGACUUGUAUUGGUGCAGAGAAGUAGAUGGUAUUUCUGGGUAUUAUUGGUGUACAAAUAAGAACCUUUUCUGAAAUUAAAUGCUUUGCCUGACUUGUAGAGUUCUUAACACCAGGUUUUGGGCAAAAGGCAUACUUACUGAUGGAAAAAGAAAUGUUGGAGUGACUUGACAGUGGGAGGUUCUGUUUCAUGAGGUUGGUUGUGUAUUUUUGUUGUUGUUGUGAUAAAGAAAAGGCAAAGAAAAAAAAA